rnacentral:rRNA from 1 species
AGUGAACGCUGGCGGUAGGCCUAACACAUGCAAGUCGAACGGCAGCACAGUAAGAGCUUGCUCUUACGGGUGGCGAGUGGCGGACGGGUGAGGAAUACAUCGGAAUCUACUUUUUCGUGGGGGAUAACGUAGGGAAACUUACGCUAAUACCGCAUACGACCUACGGGUGAAAGCAGGGGAUCUUCGGACCUUGCGCGAUUGAAUGAGCCGAUGUCGGAUUAGCUAGUUGGCGGGGUAAAGGCCCACCAAGGCGACGACCCGUAGCUGGUCUGAGAGGAUGAUCAGCCACACUGGAACUGAGACACGGUCCAGACUCCUACGGGAGGCAGCAGUGGGGAAUAUUGGACAAUGGGCGCAAGCCUGAUCCAGCCAUACCGCGUGGGUGAAGAAGGCCUUCGGGUUGUAAAGCCCUUUCGUUGGGAAAGAAAAGCAGCAGGUUAAUACCCCGCUGUUCUGACGGUACCCAAAGAAUAAGCACCGGCUAACUUCGUG